AUUUGCAGAAAAUAUUACACAGACCAUCGCCUCCUUCGCUAUUCAUCCUGUCGUCUGACUAUCACACCGUCGUCAGAUUCCUUAUCUGAAUAUAAUUUUCAGAAAAAGCUUCUUUAAAGCGCUAAUCUUAUAUCCUAUUUAUGCAAUUUGGGUUUCAGAUCAGUUGAAUAGGAAACUCAAACCAGAAGUAUUCUUAAUUAUAUAUAGGGUUUCUCCCACUCUCGAUCUUGCUCUAAGAUCAAUCGAGCUUUAACUUUCCAGAUUGGGAGUUGAAUUCCACGGUUAGGGUGAGCUCUAAACUUUCCCCCAAAUUUAUUUGCCCCAAUAGCAGUUUUUUUUCCCUUUCAGAUACUUUGAUUUGAAUCCGCAUUUACAGUCGAGUAAGCAAAAUCGUCGGGAGAAACGGAAACAUGACGAGUCGAGGGACGAGAUCAGAGAAAGUUAAAAGGAUAUUCCAACAAUUCGACGCGAAUAGGGAUGGCGGUUUGAGCCGGGAGGAGAUGGCGUCUCUAGUGGUGGCUGUGAACCCUAGAGUUAAAUUCAGUGGGGAGCAAAUCAAUGCUAUUCUGGACGAGAUAUUCCGAACAUACGGAGAAUUCAUCGACGUUGAAAAGGGGCUCAGCUUUGAAGGCCUCCUUCGAACAUACGACGACGGAGCUGGAGAUGUCGACCGUGACUUUGACGCCCUCGGUCUCGAGCUCAAACCAGAUGACAAAAUGGGGAUUUCACAAGUAUCUGAAGAGGCUGCUUCAUCUUCAUCCAUAGCCGACGACCGCGUAAUGGAGCCACACAAGAAACAGCGUACUGCUGCCUGGGCAGCUUCCCCAAACCAUGGAAUCGUGUUUGACGAGACCUGGAAUUUGGUUGAUGAUCUCGAAAUUUUGAUCAAAAGGUUGAAAGCCAAACAGUCAAAGGAUGGGAAGCUGAAGAAUGACAAUUCAGAUGUAUUUUCCGACGCUGGAUGGUCGAGGGAGCUCGGGCAGUCGAGUGAGAUUUCUGACAAGAGGGUGGUUUGGACUGAGUCAGGGCACGACUAUGCAGUCUUUGUAAAGGAAUUGGGAGCUCUACGGUCGAGAGCCGACAGGGCAAGGUCGAGAGCAGAGGCCUUUGAUGGGCAGAUGGCCAUUGGCCGUGUGUUGUACGAGCAUUAUUUGAUUAAGGAGGCCUUGGUGAGUUUCAAGAGGGCUUGUGAAUUGACGCCGUUGGAUGUAAAGCCACAUUUUAGAGCUGGAAAUUGCUUGUAUGUUCUUGGUAGGUAUAGCGAGGCGAAAGCCGAGUUCUUGCUUGCAUUGGAGGCAGCUGAGGCUGGAGGAAAUCAAUGGGCGUAUUUGUUGCCUCAGAUUCAUGUGAAUUUGGGGAUUGCACUCGAGGCCGAAGGAAUGGUUCUGAGCGCCUGCGAGCAUUAUAGAGAGGCUGCGAUUUUGUGUCCGACUCAUUUUAGAGCUUUGAAGCUUUUGGGCAGUGCUCUUUUUGGUGUUGGAGAGUAUAAGGCAGCAGUUAAGGCUUUGGAGGAGGCUAUUUAUAUGAAAAACGAUUAUGCCGAUGCGCAUUGUGAUUUGGCCUCUGCUUUGCAUGCUAUGGGCGAUGAUGAUAAUGCCAUUAAAGAGUUUCAAAAGGCGAUUGAUUUAAAACCUGGUCAUGUCGAUGGUUUGUACAAUUUGGGCGGGCUUUAUAUGGACAUGGGUAGGUACCAAAGGGCUUCGGAGAUGUAUACGAGAGUUUUGGCUGUAUGGCCGAAUCAUUGGAGGGCACAGUUGAAUAAGGCUGUCUCUCUGUUGGGAGCUGGAGAAACUGACGAAGCUAAGAAGGCGUUAAAGGAAGCUUUGAAAAUGACGAACCGUGUUGAAUUGCAUGAUGCAAUAUCACACUUGAAACAGCUACAAAAACGAAGGUUGAGGGGAAAUGGUAAUGGCAGGAAUGAUCCAGUCUUCAUUACCGUGGAACAUUUGAAAUUCAAAACUGUUGGUGAGAAAACCACAUUACGGCCUGAACUGGCUACGGCGCUCGACAUCAGAGCCUUUCAGAGAAUCACCAGAUUGAAUCGGUGUGAGGUUGAGCUUAUAAAGAAGCAAAUGAGCGAAACUGAUGUGCCUGUAUCGUAUUCUGGCGGUGGUGUCCCUGAGAAGUCGAUACGCAAGGCCUCACUGGAAGGGAUUCUUCGAAAAUUGCUAGAUUUUUUGAAUCCAGAAACAUUUGUAGGAGCUGUCAAAGCUAUAAACCAGAAACUCCUUUCUAUGUUGGAUGAAUCAGAGUCGGGCCGUGUGGAUUUGGGCAUGUUCUUUGCACUUAUCGCCCCACUUUGUGGCGGUUCUGCAGACAAACGGAAGCAGAUUGCAUAUGAAUCACUUCUUUGGCGACCUGUGAACGAAGGCAAUGCACAUAUAAAGAAGUCUGAUGCCCAAAGAUAUAUUAAACUGUUGAGGGCCAUCUACAUUCCUUCCCACGGUAUUAGCGAAAUGUUGGAAAUCCACGGCGAAGCAGAUAACUCAUUGGUUUCUUUACAAGAAUUUAUCACGAUGUUUGAUGAUCCAGAAUGGGGAUUUGGCAUCUUGUCCACUUUACUGAAGCUCGAAAUUGGGGACAGGAACCGUCAUGGCAACCAUAUCUGUGCUGCUUGUCGCUAUCCCAUCAUUGGUUCCCGAUUCAAGGAGAUGAAAUCUCACUUCAGCUUGUGCGCGCAAUGCUACAGCGAAGGGAAAGUCCCGGCAACGUGCAAGCAGGAAGAGUACAAGUUCAAGGAAUAUGUAACUGAGGGUGAAGCUGUUAAAGACAGAUGCUUGUGCCUUCGUUCGAAGGACUCAUCUCCUGAGGGAUCCUAGCGUUGGUUUUUAAGCUAAUCGUAACGCCCCCUGCAUAUAAGCAUAAUAAUGUUUUCAAGAAGCUUUUGUAUUGUGCAGAUGAAAAUAUGAGUGAACACAGGAUGAUGCAUUUAAUCGAUGAGAUUAACCAAAAGCAUGUGUGAUGAGCAUAAUUUGGUGAAUCCAGGCAGAUUUGCAUUGAAUCGAAAGCUCCUACAUGUGCAAUUCCAUG